rnacentral:rRNA from 1 species
UGGGGAAUCUUCCGCAAUGGACGAAAGUCUGACGGAGCAACGCCGCGUGUAUGAUGAAGGUCUUCGGAUUGUAAGGUACUGUCAUUGGGGAAGAACGGUUUUCUUGAAAAGAUUGAGAAGACAUGACGGUACCCAAGGAGGAAGCCCCGGCUAACUACGUGCCAGCAGCCGCGGUAAUACGUAGGGGGCAAGCGUUGUCCGGAAUUAUUGGGCGUAAAGGGCGCGUAGGCGGGCCUUUAAGUCCGGUGUGAAAGAUCAGGGCUCAACCCUGAGGGUGCAUCGGAAACUGGAGGCCUUGAGGACAGGAGAGGAAAGUGGAAUUCCACGUGUAGCGGUGAAAUGCGUAGAUAUGUGGAGGAACACCAGUGGCGAAGGCGACUUUCUGGACUGUAACUGACGCUGAGGCGCGAAAGCGUGGGGAGCAAACA